CGUUCGGUCGGGCAGCCCUGCUGGGGGUCCUCGCCGGGAGGCUGCGGACCUAGCCGGUCGCGGACGCCGGGAGUGUGAGGUCCGCGAGGGGACGGCGCAGCUAGUGCCUGGCACGUGGUUGGUGGCCAGUGCUUGCCCAAGAUUCAGACUCACGGGAGUGGGACGCUGCUUUAAAGAAAGGAAGGAGUGAGAGAAGGAAGAUUGGGAAGAACAGAGAAGGGAGAGGGAGAUGAGGGAAGAGGCCAAGGAUAUGGAUUUCCAGAGAGCUACGAAGAUGAAGUCAUUGUCACCAGCUGGCUCAGUCAGUGGAGCAUGUGACUCUUGAUCUUGACGUUCUUAUCUCCUAACUCAGGCCAAAGACCCUUCGGGCAAAGCAUCCCUCACAGGAACUGAAACUACCCCUCAAGCAAAAAGAACUGCCCUGAGCCAGCAAGACAGGGAUGGGGACUGACCCCAAGACCUGUGGACGUGACCUUCCCUGCCCACCUGCCCGUACUCACCGACCUUUGUCCCACAGUUCCCUCUUACAAACCUGGAAGUAUUUUCAGCACUUUGGAGAUGGUCUUUGAGAAGCUAGUGUGCUGUCUUCCAGGUGUCCGCCUCUGUGAAAUAAAUUCCU